rnacentral:rRNA from 1 species
UACGGAGGGUGCGAGCGUUGUCCGGAAUCACUGGGCGUAAAGGGCGCGUAGGCGGCUUGAUAAGUAGGGGGUGAAAUCCUGCGGCUUAACCGCAGGGCUGCCUUCUAAACUGUCAGGCUUGAGCACAGUAGAGGCAGGUGGAAUUCCCGGUGUAGCGGUGGAAUGCGUAGAGAUCGGGAAGAACAUCGGUGGCGAAGGCGGCUCUCUGGGCCUUACCUGACGCUGAGGAGCGAAAGUGUGGGGAGCGAACAGG